rnacentral:lncRNA from 10 species
UCAAAUACCUGCUAAGCAGGCAUUUUAUGUUCCUGAAAGAUUUGUUGGGCCCAUAAGUGGAGAAACCCAGUGCUGACUUAUCUGCUUUCUUUUCAUCCUGUCUGAGAACUUCUGUUUUCAUGCAGAGGAUGCUUCCAGGUCAAAAAUGCUUCCAGAAAUAAAAAUAAAUUUGAAACUGCCCAAAAGGAAGCAUACCUAGUCCCACUUUCCAAGCGAGAGAUUUUUCGGAAAAAAAAAUGUUUAUGGACUUUCUCUCCUAGUCACGGUUUCAUAGUAGGAAUAAACAUGCUAUAGAAAGCAAGUUGUUUCUUGAUAAAGGAGAAGGUGAAUUUGUUAAGUCUUCCAAGAGCCCAGAGCAAUUCUUCGCAGCCCUAAUAAGUGUAGCUAAAGCUGACAAGAGCCAGCUGAUUGUCAAUCUGUUGGUGAAGGCAAUGGCCUAACUAUUGGGGCAGAAUAGUUUUACCUUCCUUAAUAUCUUCAAUGACAUAGAGAUUUGAACUCCCAUGUUUUGAUAAAAAAAAGAAGCUGAAGUCCAGAAAUGAGACAAUGAUGAAGGUGAUUGUAUUAGUCAGGAUUCUCUAGAGGGCAGAAUUAAUAGGAUAAAUGUAUAUGUAUAAAGGGGAAUUUAUUAAGGAGUAUUAACUCAACACAAUCACAAGGUGAGGUCCCACAAUAGGCUGUCUGCAAGCUGAGAAUCAAGGAAGCCAUUCUGAGUCCCAAAGCUGAAGAACUUGGAGUGUGAUGUUCGAGAGCAGGAAACAUCCAACACGGGAGAAAGAUGUAGCCUGGGAGGCUAAGCCAGUCUAGUCUUUUCAGGUUCUUCUGCCUGCUUUUAUUCUGGCUGCGCUGGCAGCUAAUUAGAUUGUGGCCACCCAGAUUGAGGGUGGGUUUCCUUUCCCAGUCUGCUGACUCAAAUUUAAUCUCCUUUGGCAACACCCUCACAAUUAUACCCAGGAACAAUACUUUGCAUCCUUCAAUGCAAUCAAGUUGACACUCAGUAUUAACCAUCACAGUGAUGAGAAGUCUGUUGGCUGUGUCACUGCUUACAAGUUUGAUGAGAAUGCCCAAACUACAAAAUUCCCAUGGUGUCUGGCAUAAUUGCUGGCUAGAUGUGCUUAGAAUGCAUGAAGAAAUAUUCUGAUCAUUUGACUUGGAAAAAAAACAUACUGUUUAGAAUAGACCUUUAGGGAUGUUUGAAUUAGAAGCCAUUGACAGGGAACCAGAGUAUUCGUGGAUAAGGAGUGGGAAGCUACUUCUGGGUGCUGGGGACCCUACCCUUCACUGUGCUAAAAGAACAGGACAAAAUCAAUCAUGUGAUUUCUUGGUAAGUGUUGUGCCAGUCUAGAGAUUCUGGAAGGUAAAUUCUUCCUUUUGUUUGCCUCCUGG